UACGUAGGGGGCAAGCGUUGUCCGGAAUCAUUGGGCGUAAAGAGCGCGUAGGCGGCCCUGUAAGUCCGCUGUGAAAGUCAAGGGCUCAACCCUUGGAUGCCGGUGGAUACUGCAGGGCUAGAGUCCGGAAGAGGCGAGUGGAAUUCCUGGUGUAGCGGUGAAAUGCGCAGAUAUCAGGAAGAACACCGAUGGCGAAGGCAGUUCUCUGGGACGGUACUGACGCUGAGACGCGAAAGCGUGGGGAGCGAACAGG
rnacentral:rRNA from 1 species